GUCAGGAGUAUUUAUUUUUAAAACAUUUCCUUGGGCACCUACAAUGUGCCAGGCACUGUUCUAAGCUCUUUAUAAAUAGCAACUCAUUCAUAGGCUGAGGUUUUGGGGUCAAGGGUUAUGAACUUUAAGACUUGUUUUCUUUUUAAAUAUCAAGACACUCAUGAAAGGACAAAUGGAAGUAAAACAUUCCCAUUUUAAAAUUAUGAAAGAAGUAAGGUCUCUCCAUCAGGUUCAUCCUGUCCCCCAGAAAUAGAGCCACCAGUAACAGCUGGGUGUCUGCAGCCCUUUCCUGAGGUCUUCACACUCAUGGUAGUAAGUACAAGUUACUGCAUCGUCAGCAUGCACGCUGACCUGCACCUGGCCUUUGCCAUUGCUGACGUCAGUGUGACAUCAGUGGCACCCACUGCCAUUGUCCAGAGCCUCCUUGCCCUGGGAUGUGUGCAGAGCCUGUGGGGGACCAGUGGCUCUUCAAGGCAGUGGCGCUCAAGCAUCUGACUUCAGCCCUCUCUUAGGGGGAGCCCAAAUCCACACCGUCACUCCUCCACAGCAUACCAUCUGCCUGGGUUAGUGCUAUGCCUUAACUUGGGGGAAUCCCACCCAGUCCAUGCCCACCUCCAACACCACACGACAAAGGGAAAAUAUCCCUGUCUUUCUUUUUAACAAUAACAGAAAAGUAAUUCUCAUGCAGAUACAGACUUAACCCCAUGUCUCCAAGCUCCAGUUCCAGGCCAGCUGCAGUACUCAUUAGAGUGCUUAGUCCUGAUUGCUUCCUAAAAAGCAAAUAACAGAUUGAGUGUCCCUUAUCCAAAACGUGUGGGACCAGAAGUGUUUCAGAUAUCAGAUUUUGGAAUAGAUGCCUACACAUCCUGGGGAUGGGACCCAACACUAAACAUGAAAUUUCACUUACAUUUCAUAUAUGCCUGGCCUGUUUUAGCCAGCUUUUUCCCUGCUGUGACUAAAAGGCCCGACCAGUACAUUCCAUUCCUCAGGCUCAAGGUGAGGAAGGACAUGAUGGUGGAAGAGUGUGGUGGAGGGAAGCAGCUCACUGAUCAUCAGGAAGCAGAGAGAUCUCCACUUGCCAAAUACAAACAUAUGCCCCAAACCCAUGCCCCCAGUGACCCACCUCCUCCAGCCACACCCCACCCACCACUAGUUACCUCUCAGUUAAUCCCAUUAGGGGUUAUUUUGUUGAUUACUUAAGGCUCUCACACCCAAAUCAUUUCCCCUGUGAACCCUCUUGCAUUGGCUCACACUUGAGCUUUUG
rnacentral:lncRNA from 1 species